rnacentral:rRNA from 1 species
UACGGAGGGUGCAAGCGUUAAUCGGAAUUACUGGGCGUAAAGCGUGCGCGGGCGGUUUGUUAAGUCCGCUGUGAAAUCCCCGAGCUCAACUUGGGAAUUGCAGUGGAUACUGGCAGGCUGGAGUACGGUAGAGGAAGGUGGAAUUCCCGGUGUAGCAGUGAAAUGCGUAGAGAUCGGGAGGAACACCAGUGGCGAAGGCGGCCUUCUGGACCAAUACUGACGCUCAUGCACGAAAGCGUGGGGAGCAAACAGG